UGGGGAAUAUUGCGCAAUGGGGGGAACCCUGACGCAGCAACGCCGCGUGAAGGAUGAAGGCUUUCGGGUUGUAAACUUCUUUGAUGAGGGACGAAAGAAAUGACGGUACCUCAAAAACAAGCCACGGCUAACUACGUGCCAGCAGCCGCGGUAAUACGUAGGUGGCGAGCGUUGUCCGGAGUUACUGGGUGUAAAGGGCGUGUAGGCGGGGAUGCAAGUCAGAUGUGAAAUGCCGGGGCUUAACUCCGGAGCUGCAUCUGAAACUGUGUUUCUUGAGUGUCGGAGAGGAAAGCGGAAUUCCCAGUGUAGCGGUGAAAUGCGUAGAUAUUGGGAGGAACACCAGUGGCGAAGGCGGCUUUCUGGACGAUAACUGACGCUGAGGCACGAAAGCGUGGGGAGCAAACAGGAUUAGAUACCCUGGUAGUCCACGCCCUAAACGAUGUCAACUAGUUGUUGGGGAUUCAUUUCCUUAGUAACGUAGCUAACGCGUGAAGUUGACCGCCUGGGGAGUACGGUC
rnacentral:rRNA from 1 species